rnacentral:misc_RNA from 1 species
AAGAGUUAGGGUCUUCGGGGUAGAUCUCCCACCCUCUGUUUACAUACUUUGUUGCUUUGGCAGGCCCGUCUUCGGACCGCCGGCUUCGGCUGGCCCGUGCUUGCCAGAGGAUUCAAAACUCUGAUAAUUAUGUCGUCUGAGUACUAUUAUAAAUAGUUA